rnacentral:rRNA from 1 species
GACGAACGCUGGCGGCGUGCUUAACACAUGCAAGUCGAACGAUGAAGCGCCAGCUUGCUGGUGUGGAUUAGUGGCGAACGGGUGAGUAACACGUGAGUAACCUGCCCCCUACUCUGGGAUAAGCCUGGGAAACUGGGUCUAAUACUGGAUAUGACCAAUCACUGCAUGGUGUGUUGGUGGAAAGAUUUUUUGGUGGGGGAUGGACUCGCGGCCUAUCAGCUUGUUGGUGGGGUAAUGGCCUACCAAGGCGACGACGGGUAGCCGGCCUGAGAGGGCGACCGGCCACACUGGGACUGAGACACGGCCCAGACUCCUACGGGAGGCAGCAGUGGGGAAUAUUGCACAAUGGGCGAAGGCCUGAUGCAGCGACGCCGCGUGAGGGAUGACGGCCUUCGGGUUGUAAACCUCUUUCACCAGGGACGAAGCUAACGUGACGGUACCUGGAGAAGAAGCACCGGCUAACUACGUG